CGACGUAUGGGGCGAGCGUUACUCGGAAUCACUGGGCGUAAAGGGCACGCAGGCGGGCUAUGGCAGUUGGAUGUUUAAUCCCUGGGCUCAACCUAGGGGGGGCAUCCAAGACGCAUAGUCUAGGGGACCUUAGGGGAGAGCGGAAUUCUCGGAGUAGCGGUGGAAUGCGUAGAUACCGAGAGGAACACCAGUGGCGAAGGCGGCUCUCUGGGGGGUUCCCGACGCUCAGGUGCGAAAGCGUGGGGAGCAAACAGGAUUAGAAACCCUAGUAGUCC
rnacentral:rRNA from 1 species